ACGGGAGGCAGCAGUGAGGAAUAUUGGUCAAUGGGCGGAAGCCUGAACCAGCCAUGCCGCGUGAAGGAAUAAGGUCCUAUGGAUCGUAAACUUCUUUUGAGUGGGAGCAAUAAGGUCUACGAGUAGAUCGAUGAGAGUACCAUUCGAAUAAGCAUCGGCUAACUCCGUGCCAGCAGCCGCGGUAAUACGGAGGAUGCAAGCGUUAUCCGGAUUUAUUGGGUUUAAAGGGUGCGUAGGCUGUUGAUCAAGUCAGAGGUGAAAUGCCGCAGCUCAACUGUGGAAUUGCCUUUGAUACUGGUUGGCUUGAAUACUGUUGCCGUGGGAGGAAUGAGUAGUGUAGCGGUGAAAUGCAUAGAUAUUACUCAGAACACCGAUUGCGAAGGCAUCUCACGAAGCAGUCAUUGACGCUGAGGCACGAAAGCGUGGGGAUCAAACAGGAUUAGAUACCCUGGUA
rnacentral:rRNA from 1 species